rnacentral:rRNA from 1 species
UACGUAGGGGGCUAGCGUUGUCCGGAAUCAUUGGGCGUAAAGAGCGUGUAGGCGGCCCGGUAAGUCCGCUGUGAAAGUCGGGGGCUCAACCCUCGAAUGCCGGUGGAUACUGUCGGGCUAGAGUGCGGAAGAGGCGAGUGGAACUCCUGGUGUAGCGGUGAAAUGCGCAGAUAUCAGGAGGAACACCGAUUGCGAAGGCAGCUCGCUGGGACGUAACUGACGCUGAGACGCGAAAGCGUGGGGAGCAAACAGG